rnacentral:rRNA from 1 species
GUCGAGCGGCAGCACGGGUACUUGUACCUGGUGGCGAGCGGCGGACGGGUGAGUAAUGCCUAGGAAUCUGCCUGGUAGUGGGGGAUAACGCUCGGAAACGGACGCUAAUACCGCAUACGUCCUACGGGAGAAAGCAGGGGACCUUCGGGCCUUGCGCUAUCAGAUGAGCCUAGGUCGGAUUAGCUAGUUGGUGAGGUAAUGGCUCACCAAGGCGACGAUCCGUAACUGGUCUGAGAGGAUGAUCAGUCACACUGGAACUGAGACACGGUCCAGACUCCUACGGGAGGCAGCAGUGGGGAAUAUUGGACAAUGGGCGAAAGCCUGAUCCAGCCAUGCCGCGUGUGUGAAGAAGGUCUUCGGAUUGUAAAGCACUUUAAGUUGGGAGGAAGGGCAGUUACCUAAUACGUAUCUGUUUUGACGUUACCGACAGAAUAAGCACCGGCUAACUCUGUGCCAGCAGCCGCGGUAAUACAGAGGGUGCAAGCGUUAAUCGGAAUUACUGGGCGUAAAGCGCGCGUAGGUGGUUUGUUAAGUUGAAUGUGAAAUCCCCGGGCUCAACCUGGGAACUGCAUCCAAAACUGGCAAGCUAGAGUAUGGUAGAGGGUGGUGGAAUUUCCUGUGUAGCGGUGAAAUGCGUAGAUAUAGGAAGGAACACCAGUGGCGAAGGCGACCACCUGGACUGAUACUGACACUGAGGUGCGAAAGCGUGGGGAGCAAAC